rnacentral:misc_RNA from 1 species
GGCCAAAUACGGUCGCUGCACGCCGCCGACGCACCCGACACUCGCGGAGCGGUGCCGCUCCCGUCGCGAUUCUUUCUUUCCCUUUUUGGCGCACCGUCGCGUGUGUGUCACGCGUCUCUGCUUCUCCUAUGCCCCCACUGCGUGGGACCGGCCGUGGCCGUAAUAAGGCUGGCACUGUCCCUACCGCCCACACCAAGGGCGGCUUCAAGGCGAAGGGCAGCGCCAAACCACGCACGUUUGAUGAGUACUACAGCGAAAUCUACGGUAAGCGUUGGCCCACACUUCGCGCUGCCAUGAUAGAGGCGCCGCGCAAGGUGGCGCUGUGGAACCGCUUCUCCCAGGUCCCCUUCGAGGAGGCGACGCGAGGGUUGUCACGGGUGGAGCCCAACUCCCUCAUCCAAGCUUUUCAACCUGCCCGGAAGGUCAACUCGACAGAAGCCGCCAGCACGACGGACCGUGGCAUCAGUGCCGACGACGAGGCGAGGCUGCAGGAGAAGGCCCUUGCCGCAGCGGCUGGCGACCUGCUACACCCGAACGGCGUAAUCGACAAACCCCCCAUCGACGCCUUUGGCAUCAAGGCGUACUACCUGCUCGACUACGCCUCGGCGCACGUAGUGGAGCAGCUGCAGGUCGGCGCAUUUGAUACGGUGCUGGACAUGUGUGCCGCCCCAGGUGGAAAGUCCGUUGCCGUGGCGCAGUUUCUGUCACCUGACGGAGCGCUCACGUGCAAUGAGGCCCGCGCCGACCGUUGCGCGCGGCUUCGGCGGAAUUUACAGGAACACGUGCCCGUGAACUACGUACCGUGGCGAACGACGCAGCGCGAUGCGCAGACAUGGUACGACCCAGGGGCCUUCUCGCGUGUUCUCGUCGACGCCCCGUGCUCCUCGGAGCGGCACCUGCUUCAGCAGUCAGGCGGCUCGCCUCUGUCCUUGCGAGAGUGGUCUGAGGAGACGACAGCUCAGCUCGCCGCUCUUCAGCGUAUGCUGCUGCAGCGUGCCAUCGAAACGUGCCGCGUUGGCGGCCGUAUCGUUUACAGCACGUGCUCCAUCUCACCCUUGGAGAACGAUGGCGUUGUGGGUGAGGUACUGCAGCGCACUAGGUGCGAGGUCAAGGUAAUCAAGACAUCGUCCGCCGCUGCUGCUGCCCUUGUUGCGCCGCCGAAGACUGCAACCGACGCCAGCGAAUCGGAUGCGUCUGGUGCAGAGGCGUGUGCCCCACACACACCAACUGUGCUCGGCGAGGCGACGGCGUACGGCCGCCUGCUAUUGCCGGACACUUGCCAUGGAUGGGGCCCAAUGUUUUUCUGUGUGCUGGAGAAGACCGCAGAGCACAAGGACGUGCCCUCCUCCUCGUCUGAGGAUGACGGUGACUAGAACACGUGCCGGGCAAGCGCAUUCAAAGCAAAGGAGGUGUGCACGUGUCCGUGUCUUUGUGUUCGCGUGCACGGCGCUUCGUCUCUGCCUCCCCCCCGUCCUCCGAUCCACUCGGAAAUGAGGACGGACAGCGAUGAUGGCAAAACGGUGGCGUCUUCUUCGACUCUCUCUCUCUGUAACGAUUAACACGCGCAAGAUGCGACAUGAUGAG